rfam:Sphingobium baderi strain DE-13, complete genome.
ACGGGCCUUAUGCGGGCGCCCGUCCAGACGAUGGCCGUCCAAGUCCGC